rnacentral:snoRNA from 1 species
AUCGCUUUCUAGUUCACAAGCAUGAUUGGUUUUUCACAUCUAAUUUGUGUGAUGUCUCUCAAAUCUUAUUACAACAUCCAGCACAUUACCUAUCUUCGU